UUGGACAUAUAUACUAGUCCUUUCCCCAUGGAGAUAUGGUGUGCGAUGGUUGCAAACAGCAGCUUCCUUGGUAGUGUAUGGAGCCUAUUGCCUAUAUGGGUUGCUCUGAAGGACCUUGGAGGCAAUU
ensembl:snoRNA Gm26153 predicted gene, 26153